rnacentral:rRNA from 1 species
GUCCACGCCGUAAACGAUGGACACUAGGCGUCGGGGGGAGCGACCCCUCCGGUGCCGUCGCUAACGCAGUAAGUGUCCCGCCUGGGGAGGUACGGCCGCAAGGCUGAAACUCAAAGGAAAUUGACGGGGGCCCGCACAAGCGGUGGAGCAUGUGGUUUAAUUCGAAGCAACGCGAAGAACCUUACCUGGGCUUGACAUGCUGGUGUAAGCCGGUGGAAACAUCGGCCCCUCUUCGGAGCGCCAGCACAGGUGCUGCAUGGCUGUCGU